GUUCUCUGUAAUGCAAUGGAUAGCAUGUUGAACUUCUAAUCCAAAGGCCGUGGGUUCGUAUCCCACCUGAAAUA